ACUCCAGGGGUGAUUUUGAUAUCUUCCUGUCCUUUUUCCUCCAGCUAAGCACUCUUCUCUUCAGGCUUCUGGGAGACAUAGGAUGCAGUGGGAACCUAAACCUUCGGAAACCUCCCAAAUGUUUAGGUAGAAAGAUGGCUCUGCUGAGAUAAGCUCUUAAUUAAUGCACUGAGAGCUUACGAGUCCCACCUCUCAACAGGAAUGAUUGACGUCCAAGGAUACAUAAAUUACAGUAAUUGAGCCCUGCCUCUACCCAGACUUCCUACAGCCAACUCAUCAGAGAAGCUAGGUGAGUAGACCAGCAUAGAAAGUUAUUGAAUUAUGUUCUUUGCUUUCCCAAAGGGUGAAAGAGACUUUCCAGACUGUUGCACAUUUACUAUUACAGAAGGCAG
rnacentral:lncRNA from 1 species